AUUGAACGCUGGCGGCAGGCUUAACACAUGCAAGUCGAGCGGGGGAAGGUAGCUUGCUACCGGACCUAGCGGCGGACGGGUGAGUAAUGCUUAGGAAUCUGCCUAUUAGUGGGGGACAACAUCUCGAAAGGGAUGCUAAUACCGCAUACGUCCUACGGGAGAAAGCAGGGGAUCUUCGGACCUUGCGCUAAUAGAUGAGCCUAAGUCAGAUUAGCUAGUUGGUGGGGUAAAGGCCUACCAAGGCGACGAUCUGUAGCGGGUCUGAGAGGAUGAGCCGCCACACUGGGACUGGGACACGGCCCAGACUCCUACGGGAGGCAGCAGUGGGGAAUAUUGGACAAUGGGGGGAACCCUGAUCCAGCCAUGCCGCGUGUGUGAAGAAGGCCUUAUGGUUGUAAAGCACUUUAAGCGGGGAGGAGGCUACUUUAGUUAAUACCUAGGGAUAGUGGACGUUACUCGCAGAAUAAGCACCGGCUAACUCUGUGCCAGCCGCCGCCGUAA
rnacentral:rRNA from 1 species